CCAGCUGAGGCACAUGCCAUGGGAGCUAAGUGGCUGCUGCGCUUGACCACUACGAAGACUGGUGUGGGAAGAAUCCUUUUGGAUGCACUUGAGCAGGGGGCGCUAAUCCCUGCGUCACAAGGCCUCUACUGGGCCAUACGGCAGGAGCCUCAGCCAAGAUGUCUCACCCCACUCUCUAUGAUGCAACAAGAAGCCCCUGGAGAACAUUUCAGUCCCACUCUGUACUUCUGUCAUGUGCUCAUCACAGUCUGGUGGAAUUUAAAUGACCUCUUAUCAAGAUGGAUAAACCCAAGUUUCCCAGUGCUGGAAUAUAGAAAAUGGAUGGACAAGUAAGUCCUACUCAGCACCCAUAACCCAGACAUGGGGACCUCAACACACC